rnacentral:rRNA from 1 species
AUCAACUUUCGAUGGUAGGAUAGAGGCCUACCAUGGUGGUAACGGGUAACGGGGUGUUAGGGCACGACACCGGAGAGGGAGCCUGAGAAACGGCUACCACAUCCAAGGAUGGCAGCAGGCGCGCAAAUUACCCAAUCCCGACACGGGGAGGUAGUGACAAUAAAUAACAAUACGGGGUUCUUUCGGAUCUCGUAAUUGGAAUGAGUACAAUUUAAAUCUCAUAACGAGGAACAAUUGGAGGGCAAGUCUGGUGCCAGCAGCCGCGGUAAUUCCAGCUCCAAUAGCGUAUAUUAAAGUUGUUGCAGUUAAAAAGCUCGUAGUUGAAUUUCGGGAUCAAAUUGUCGGCCGUGCCUCGGUACGUACUGGCGUCAUUGGUUCCUCCCUUCUGAAGAACCACGAUGUCAUUAAUUUGGUGUCGCGGGGAAUCAGGACUGUUACUUUGAAAAAAUUAGAGUGUUUAAAGCAGGCUCGCGCUUGAAUACAUUAGCAUGGAAUAAUGAAAUAGGACGUUUGAUUCUAUUUUGUUGGUUUCUAGGAUCGACGUAAUGAUUAAUAGGGAUAGUUGGGGGCAUUAGUAUUCAAUUGUCAGAGGUGAAAUUCUUGGAUUUAUUGAAGACUAACUACUGCGAAAGCAUUUGCCAAGGAUGUUUUUAUUAAUCAAGAACGAAAGUUAGGGGAUCGAAGACGAUCAGGUACCGUCGUAGUCUUAACCAUAAACUAUGCCGACUAGGGAUCGGAUGAUGUUAAUUUUUUAAUGACUCAUUCGGCGCCUUACGGGAAACCAAAGUGUUUGGGUUC